rnacentral:rRNA from 1 species
GAUGAACGCUGGCGGCGUGCCUAAUACAUGCCAGUCGAGCGAACAGAUGAGGAGCUUGCUCCUCUGACGUUAGCGGCGGACGGGUGAGUAACACGUGGAUAACCUACCUAUAAGACUGGGAUAACUUCGGGAAACCGGAGCUAAUACCGGAUAAUAUAUUGAACCGCAUGGUUCAAUAGUGAAAGACGGUUUUGCUGUCACUUAUAGAUGGAUCCGCGCCGCAUUAGCUAGUUGGUAAGGUAACGGCUUACCAAGGCAACGAUGCGUAGCCGACCUGAGAGGGUGAUCGGCCACACUGGAACUGAGACACGGUCCAGACUCCUACGGGAGGCAGCAGUAGGGAAUCAUCCGCAAUGGGCGAAAGCCUGACGGAGCAACGCCGCGUGAGUGAUGAAGGUCUUCGGAUCGUAAAACUCUGUUAUUAGGGAAGAACAAAUGUGUAAGUAACUAUGCACGUCUUGACGGUACCUAAUCAGAAAGCCACGGCUAACUACGUG